AGAGUUUGAUCCUGGCUCAGAACGAACGCUGGCGGCAGGCUUAACACAUGCAAGUCGAACGGGUGCAGCAAUGCAUCAGUGGCAGACGGGUGAGUAACACGUGGGAACCUUCCUAGGGGUACGGAACAACUCAGGGAAACUUGAGCUAAUACCGUAUACGUCCGUGAGGAGAAAGAUUUAUCGCCCUUAGACGGGCCCGCGUCGGAUUAGCUAGUUGGUGGGGUAACGGCCUACCAAGGCGACGAUCCGUAGCUGAUCUUAGAGGAUGAUCAGCCACACUGGGACUGAGACACGGCCCAGACUCCUACGGGAGGCAGCAGUGGGGAAUCUUGGACAAUGGGCGCAAGCCUGAUCCAGCCAUGCCGCGUGAGUGAAGAAGGUCUUCGGAUUGUAAAGCUCUUUUGCCAGGGACGAUAAUGACGGUACCUGGAGAAUAAGCCCCGGCAAACUUCGUG
rnacentral:rRNA from 1 species